UACGGGGGAGCAAGCGUUGUUCGGAUUUACUGGGCGUAAAGGGCGCGUAGGCGGUCAGCACAAGUCAGUUGUGAAAUCUCCGGGCUUAACUCGGAAAGGUCAACUGAUACUGUGCGACUAGAGUGCGGAAGGGGCAACUGGAAUUCUUGGUGUAGCGGUGAAAUGCGUAGAGAUCAGGAAGAACACCGGUGGCGAAGGCGCUCUGCUAGGCCGUAACUGACACUGAGGGACGAAAGCUAGGGGAGCGAACGGG
rnacentral:rRNA from 1 species